AGAGUUUGAUCCUGGCUCAGGACGAACGCUGGCGGCGUGCCUAAUACAUGCAAGUCGAGCGAACCAAUAAGAAGCUUGCUUUUUGUUGGUUAGCGGCGGACGGGUGAGUAACACGUGGGUAACCUGCCUGUAAGACCGGGAUAACUCCGGGAAACCGGUGCUAAUACCGGAUAGAUUAUCUUUCCGCCUGGAGAGAUAAGGAAAGAUGGCUAUUGCCAUCACUUACAGAUGGGCCCGCGGCGCAUUAGCUAGUUGGUGAGGUAACGGCUCACCAAGGCGACGAUGCGUAGCCGACCUGAGAGGGUGAUCGGCCACACUGGGACUGAGACACGGCCCAGACUCCUACGGGAGGCAGCAGUAGGGAAUCUUCCGCAAUGGACGAAAGUCUGACGGAGCAACGCCGCGUGAGCGAAGAAGGUCUUCGGAUCGUAAAGCUCUGUUGUUAGGGAAGAACAAGUAUCGGAGGAAAUGCCGGUACCUUGACGGUACCUGACGAGAAAGCCACGGCUAACUACGUGCCAGCAGCCGCGGUAAUACGUAGGUGGCAAGCGUUGUCCGGAUUUAUUGGGCGUAAAGCGCGCGCAGGCGGUCCUUUAAGUCUGAUGUGAAAUCUUGCGGCUCAACCGCAAGCGGUCAUUGGAAACUGGGGGACUUGAGUGCAGAAGAGGAAAGCGGAAUUCCACGUGUAGCGGUGAAAUGCGUAGAGAUGUGGAGGAACACCAGUGGCGAAGGCGGCUUUCUGGUCUGUAACUGACGCUGAGGCGCGAAAGCGUGGGGAGCAAACAGGAUUAGAUACCCUG
rnacentral:rRNA from 1 species